rnacentral:ncRNA from 2 species
ACCAUUGCGCGGCCUUUUGGUGCCUUGGGGUGCAUUUUUUGCCUCCGAGGUAAACGGGAAGCCGGUAUGCAUAGCAUGCUCAAGCCGGCGCUGCCCCCGCAACGGUAGGCGAGUUAACGCAAGGCAAUAGACCACUGUGCAUCCGCAUGGGAAGGUGUCUUGACGGGGAAUGAUUCCGCUCGCAAGCCCGGAGACCGGCCAAAGGUCACAACCCGAU